rnacentral:rRNA from 1 species
UACGUAGGGUGCAAGCGUUAAUCGGAAUUACUGGGCGUAAAGCGUGCGCAGGCGGUUGUGCAAGACCGAUGUGAAAUCCCCGGGCUCAACCUGGGAAUUGCGAUGGAGACUGCAAGGCUAGAAUCUGGCAGAGGGGGGUAGAAUUCCACGGUGUAGCAGUGAAAUGCGUAGAGAUGUGGAGGAACACCGAUGGCGAAGGCAGCCCCCUGGGUCAAGAUUGACGCUCAUGCACGAAAGCGUGGGGAGCAAACAGG